UACGUAGGCAGCGAGCGUUGUUCGGAGUUACUGGGCGUAAAGGGUGUGUAGGCGGUUUGUCGCGUCUGCUGUGAAAAUCCGGGGCUCAACCCCGGACUUGCAGUGGGUACGGGCAGACUAGAGUGUGGUAGGGGAGACUGGAAUUCCUGGUGUAGCGGUGAAAUGCGCAGAUAUCAGGAGGAACACCGGUGGCGAAGGCGGGUCUCUGGGCCGUAACUGACGCUGAGGAGCGAAAGCAUGGGGAGCGAACAGG
rnacentral:rRNA from 1 species